rnacentral:rRNA from 1 species
GACGAACGCUGGCGGCGUGCUUAACACAUGCAAGUCGAACGGAAAGGCCCUGCUUUUGUGGGGUGCUCGAGUGGCGAACGGGUGAGUAACACGUGAGUAACCUGCCCUUGACUUUGGGAUAACUUCAGGAAAAUGGGGCUAAUACCGGAUAGGAGCUCCUGCUGCAUGGUGGGGGUUGGAAAGUUUCGGCGGUUGGGGAUGGACUCGCGGCUUAUCAGCUUGUUGGUGGGGGAGUGGCUUACCAAGGCUUUGACGGGUAGCCGGCCUGGGAGGGUGACCGGCCACAUUGGGCCUGCGAUACGGCCCAGACUCCUACGGGAGGCAGCAGUGGGGAAUAUUGCACAAUGGGCGGAAGCCUGAUGCAGCAACGCCGCGUGCGGGAUGACGGCCUUCGGGUUGUAAACCGCUUUCGCCUGUGACGAAGCGUGAGUGACGGUAAUGGGUAAAGAAGCACCGGCUAACUACGUG